AAUGAACGUUGGCGGCGUGGAUUAGGCAUGCAAGUCGAGCGAGAACCGGUUUCGGCCGGGGACAGCGGCGAACGGCGUAGUAAUGCAUCGGAACGUACCCUCUGGUCGGGGAUAGCUACGGGAAACUGUAGGUAAUACCCGAUGAUCUCUGCGGAGCAAAGGUGAGAUUCCGCCGGAGGGGCGGCUGAUGUGAUAUUAGCUAGUUGGUGGGGUAAUGGCCUACCAAGGCGAUGAUGUCUAGGGGGUGUGAGAGCAUGGCCCCCACGACCGGAACUGAGAUACUGUCCGGACACCUACGGGUGGCUGCAGUCGAGAAUCUUCCGCAAUGGACGAAAGUCUGACGGAGCGACGCCGCGUGCGGGAUGAAGGCCCUUGGGUUGUAAACCGCUGUCAGAGGGGAUGAAAUCUUCGGAGGUACUCCUCCGAAGUUGACAGAGCCUCAAAGGAAGCACGGGCUAAGUACGUGCCAGCCGCCGCGGUAA
rnacentral:rRNA from 1 species